CUGGCAGCCUUUACCACAGAGCUGCACAUGCACCUGGCCCAGGUCUUGGAGAAGCAGGAACAGAUGGUCCAGCAGGAGAUGGAGAAGCUGAGUGCUUGGCUGUUGCCCGUGCUGACCAGAGGCUUUAGAGGACAUAUGACUUGGAAGAAUGUUUUGGAAAGAAUUAGAAGCACCAACACUGUGGCCUCAAGUCCCAGAAAGAAGACUUAAAAAAAAUAC